UGCGCAGGCGGCUUACUAAGUCAGUGGUGAAAUCUUGCGGCUCAACCGUAAAAUUGCCAUUGAUACUGGUAAGCUUGGAUUCAGUUGAGGUUGGCGGAAUGUGUAAUGUAGCGGUGAAAUGCUUAGAUAUUACACAGAACACCGAUUGCGAAGGCAGCUAGCUAAACUGACAUUGACGCUGAGGCACGAAAGCGUGGGGAGCGAACAGGAUUAGAUACCCUGGUAGUCC
rnacentral:rRNA from 1 species